UUUGAUGUAGAUUGGUUAUGUUUGGAUACACUCGUUUAAAAGUGAUUCUUAUGAGUUGAUAUUGUUUGGAUAA
rnacentral:pre_miRNA from 1 species